UUUGUAGAGGAUGCUUCGAGCAUGGUCUGGCCUAAGUUCCUUGGAACAGGACGUCAUAGAGGGUGAGAAUCCCGUAUGCGGUCAGGUGCCUACGCUCAUGUGAAGCUCCUUCGACGAGUCGAGUUGUUUGGGAAUGCAGCUCAAAAUGGGUGGUAAAUUUCAUCUAAAGCUAAAUAUUGGCCAGAGACCGAUAGCGCACAAGUAGAGUGAUCGAAAGAUGAAAAGCACUUUGGAAAGAGAGUUAAACAGUACGUGAAAUUGUUGAAAGGGAAGCGCUUGCAACCAGACUUGCGCGCGGCCGAUCAUCCGGUGUUCUCACCGGUGCACUCGGCCGUGCUCAGGCCAGCAUCGGUUUCGGCGGUUGGAUAAAGGCCUCAGGAAUGUGGCUCCUCUCGGGGAGUGUUAUAGCCUGGGGUGCAAUGCAGCCUGCUGGGACCGAGGACCGCGCUUCGGCUAGGAUGCUGGCGUAAUGGUUGUAAGCGGCCCG
rnacentral:rRNA from 2 species